rnacentral:tRNA from 1 species
GGAUCUGUAGCUUAACAGUAAAAGUGUAUAAUUACGAAUUAUAAUAUAAAGGUUAAAACCCUUUCAGAUCCU